rnacentral:rRNA from 1 species
CCUACGGGGAGCAGCAGUGAGGAAUAUUGGUCAAUGGGCUUACGCCUGAACCAGCCAAGUCGCGUGAGGGAAGACUGCCCUAUGGGUUGUAAACCUCUUUUGUCAGGGAGCAACGCCGGCUACGUGUAGCCGGACUGAGAGUACCUGAAGAAAAAGCAUCGGCUAACUCCGUGCCAGCAGCCGCGGUAAUACGGAGGAUGCGAGCGUUAUCCGGAUUGAUUGGGUUUAAAGGGUGCGUAGGCGGAAUGCCAAGUCAGCGGUAAAAUCGCGGGGCUCAAUCUCGCUCCGCCGUUGAAACUGGCGUUCUUGAGUGGGCGAGAAGUAUGCGGAAUGCGUGGUGUAGCGGUGAAAUGCAUAGAUAUCACGCAGAACUCCGAUUGCGAAGGCAGCAUACCGGCGCCCAACUGACGCUGAAGCACGAAAGCGUGGGUAUCGAACAGGAUUAGAUACCCCAGUAGUC